rnacentral:rRNA from 1 species
CGAGAGUUUGAUCCUGGCGCAGGAUGAACGCUGGCGGCGUGCUUACACAUGCAAGUCGAGCGAAGCGAUAAGGUGAAAUUUUUCGGAAUGAAGCCAUAUUGACUUAGCGGCGGACGGGUGAGUAACGCGUGGGUAACCUGCCUCAUACAGGGGGAUAACAGUUAGAAAUGACUGCUAAUACCGCAUAAGCGCACGGGACUGCAUGGUCCAGUGUGAAAAACCGAGGUGGUAUGAGAUGGGCCCGCGUCUGAUUAGCUGGUUGCGGGGUAACGGCCCACCAAGGCGACGAUCAGUAGCCGACCUGAGAGGGUGGCCGGCCACAUUGGGACUGAGACACGGCCCAAACUCCUACGGGAGGCAGCAGUGGGGAAUAUUGCACAAUGGGGGAAACCCUGAUGCAGCAACGCCGCGUGAGUGAAGAAGUAUUUCGGUAUAUAAAGCUCUAUCAGCAGGGAAGAGAAUGACGGUACCUGACUAAGAAGCCCCGGCUAACUACGUG